rnacentral:rRNA from 1 species
GUAGAGUUUGAUUCUUUGUUCAUGAACCAACGCUGACCGUGUGCGUGAUACAUGCAAGUCGAGCGGACAGAUGGGAGCUUGCUCGGUGAUGUUAGCGGCGGACGGGUGAGUAACACGUGGGUAACGUGCCUGUAAGACUGGGAUAACUCCGGGAAACCGGGGGUAAUACCGGAUGGUUGUCUGAACCGCAUGGUUCAGACAUAAAAGGUGGCUUCGGCUACCACUUACAGAUGGACCCGCGGCGCAUUAGCUAGUUGGUGAGGUAACGGCUCACCAAGGCAACGAUUCGUAGCCGACCUGAGAGGGUGAUCGGCCACACUGGGAAUGAGACACGGCCCAGACUCCUACGGGAGGCAGCAGUAGGGAAUCUUUCGCAAUGGACGAAAGUCUGACGGAGCAACGCCGCGUGAGUGAGGAAGGUUUUCGGAUCGUAAAGCUCUGUUGUUAGGGAAGAACAAGAAAAAAAAAAAAUAGGGCGGCACCUUGACGGUACCUAACCAGAAAGCCACGGCUAACUACGUGCCAGCAGCCGCGGUAAUACGUAGGUGGCAAGCGUUGUCCGGAAUUAUUGGGCGUAAAGGGCUCGCAGGCGGUUUCUUAAGUCUGAUGUGAAAGCCCCCGGCUCAACCGGGGAGGGUCAUUGGAAACUGGGGAACUUGAGUGCAGAAGAGGAGAGUGGAAUUCCCCGUGUCAGCCGCGUUUG